AUUGAACGCUGGCGGCAGGCCUAACACAUGCAAGUCGAACGAGUGGCGGACGGGUGUGAAAUGUCUGUGAAACUGCCUGAUGGUGGGGGAUAACUACUGGAAACGGUAGCUAAUACCGCAUACCAUCGGAUGUGCCCAGAUGGGAUUAGCUAGUAGGUGGGGUAAAGGCUCACCUAGGCGACGCGCCCUAGCUGGUCUGAGAGGAUGACCAGCCACACUGGAACUGAGACACGGUCCAGACUCCUACGGGAGGGAGCAGUGGGGAAUAUUGCACAAGGGGCGAAAGCCGGAUGCAGCCAUGCCGCGUGUAUGAAGAAGGCCUUCGGGUUGUAAAGUACUUUCAGCGGGGAGGCGUUACCCGCAGAAGAAGCACCGGCUAACUCCGUGCCAGCAGCCGCGGUAAUAC
rnacentral:rRNA from 1 species